rnacentral:rRNA from 1 species
CCUCUCUCUACUACAGAAAAAUUAUCUCUUACAGAGGGAAAACUUUUGGGUCCAGAGGAUAGUACAAAAUACAAAAGUCUUGUAGGUGCACUUCAGUACUUAACAUUGACCAGGCCAGACAUUUCCUUUGCUGUCAACAAAGUAUGUCAGUUCCUACAUGCACCCACCACAGUUCACUUGACUGCAGCUAAGCGCAUUGUCAGAUAUGUCAAGUAUACUUUGAAUGUUGGUCUAAACUUCAGCAAGUCACCCUCUAUUCUUUUCAGUGCCUUUUCUGAUUCAGAUUGGGCAGGAUGUUUGGAUGACAGACGCUCCAGUGGUGGCUUUGCAGUAUUUUUUGGACCCAACCUUAUAUCAUGGUGUGCCAGAAAACAAGCCACAGUGUCCAGGUCGAGCACUGAAGCAGAAUACAAGGCCUUGGCCAAUACAAUAGCAGAAAUCAUCUGGGUACAAUCAAUCUUGAAGGAGUUAGGUGUGAAAAGCUCUCAAGCUCCAUGCUUAUGGUGUGAUAAUCUUGGUGCUACCUAUUUGUCUGCA